CGCCAGACUCCUACGGGAGGCAGCAGUGGGGAAUAUUGCACAAUGGGGGAAACCCUGAUGCAGCGACGCCGCGUGAGUGAAGAAGUAUUUCGGUAUGUAAAGCUCUAUCAGCAGGGAAGAAGUUGACGGUACCUGAGUAAGAAGCCCCGGCUAACUACGUGCCAGCAGCCGCGGUAAUACGUAGGGGGCAAGCGUUAUCCGGAUUUACUGGGUGUAAAGGGAGCGUAGACGGCAGUGCAAGUCUGAAGUGAAAUGCCGGGGCUUAACCCCGGAACUGCUUUGGAAACUGUGCAGCUAGAGUGCAGGAGAGGUAAGUGGAAUUCCUAGUGUAGCGGUGAAAUGCGUAGAUAUACGGAGGAACACCAGUGGCGAAGGCGGAUUGCUGGACAGUAACUGACGCUGAGGCGCGAAAGCGUGGGGAGCAAACAGGAUUAGAUACCCCUGUACAA
rnacentral:rRNA from 1 species